UUGCAACUUGGGUUAUAUGCAUUUUGUAAAACAAUAAUUAAAAGAAUGCUGAUGGUUACAUAUGUACACAAAUAGAAUGUUGAGACAAAGCUAAUAUCCAAAAAAAAAGGCCUUUGUACUUAUUGGAAGAUUGCUUUUAUCCAUGGGAAAAUUAAAUAUCUCUUUUUGAUACUAUACUUAAACGUAAAUUCCAAAGGUAAUAACUGUAGGAGUGAAAUCUUUUGAGUAAAUGAUGGAAGAUAUAUGAUAUAGAACAAAACUGCAAGGAUUCAACUUGGAUUUGACAGGGCAUUUUUCCAUUGUAAGUAGAGGGAAGAAUAAAAUUCAAGAAGAAUUUUGGAUUUGGUGGCAGAAAAAAAUGAAGAAUCAAUGGGAUCCAUUUCCUUAAUCUCAUAUUCUGUCUGGCCUCGAAGUUACGAAACAAUUAGACAAACUUCACAACAUUUGUCUUCUUCAGUCAUAUGCCUGCACUGCUAGGAAUAAAGAUUAGAAGCCAAGAAUAUUAUUGAUCCACAAGUUCAUUUGCAUACUCUGCAAGAACUAAUAAUUGACUGCCUGUAACUCACAAGUUAUAGUAAUACCCAGAUGUAGGUUCCAAAGGUAACCAACUGAGGAAAAAGAAAAGAAAAGAAAAGAAAAAGCAAGUGAAAAUAACUACCAAAAGAUGGGAGAAGGGGACGGUGAAUACAGCUAAUAUUACCGGAAGAGGUUGAUGGAACUGCAGUACUAAUGAAGAAAGCCUGACCCAUUAGCUUUUAUGUCUCGCUAUAAACAACUACAUUAUUUUUCUUUUGCCUUUGAUAAAAUUUAUAUUGCUUUUCCUUUCACUUAAUCUGCACAUAACCCUGAGUAUCUAGUUAUUUGGAUGGGAAGCCAGUAUUUCUGGAGUUAUGCUACAAACAUCCCCAAAAUCUCAGUGCCUCACAAUAAACAAGUUUAAUUCUCACUCAUAGACCAUAUGAGCUGUGGGUCUAUUUCAUUUUCGUUUAUUCUGAGGCAGAUAGGAUAAUCAGCUUCUUUCUGGAAUAUUGUUAAGCUUGAGGCCAAGGGAACAUUCAGUAAUAGUAGACUCAUGCAAUGGCUUCUCACCCCUCUGCUUGGAAGAGGUGUGCUCACUACUGUCAACAUUUUAUUGGCUAGAAUAAGUCAUGUCACCUCAAACAACUCCAGUGGGAUAGGGAGCUUUAAUCUCCCCACUAGAAAGGACACCACAAAAUUAUAGGGCUAAAUCUUCUAUCAGCCACUAGGUAAGGGACAUAGGACAGCAAACAUUCGAUAGUAAUAAUACAGGAUACUGGAAACAUUUUAAGUACUAUUUAGCUUCCACUGUAUAAAUAAAAUAACUUACUUGUCUAUUAACCGAUGGAGAAGCAGCUAUAUUAUUUUGAAUUCUAUUGUUACAAACAGUGCUUACAAAUCUUUCCUUAUAGGCAUUCACAAGAGUUUCUCUAAGAUAAACACUUAGAAAUGCAGUUGUGGGUAAUCGUUUCAUAUGUAUCUUUUACUUCAGUAGAUCUUGCCAAAGUUUCCUCUAAAAUGUUGUUCAACUUUAUCCUCUUACCUGCAAUACGUAGGAAUUUCAGAUUCUCUACAUAAAACAUUUCUAUAUGUGCUGUUACCAGGUUUCUUUUGGAAAUAAAUGUUAUAGAAUGUUAAAUCUGGGUGACAGUGACAUGACCAUUCUAUUUCUUUUCUGUAUAUUUAAAACAUCUCUUAAAUCCUAGUUAAUCAAAUUAAUUAAUAUUUAAUAAGAGUAUUUUUAAAUAAAAAUAAAAUAAAGAGCAGCCAUAGAAGCAAAUUGUUGUGAAGAAUUCCUAAAAGUCUCUUGUCAUUAUCUUCUGAAUCAUUGAAUGAUAAUAGAUGCUUUCUUCUAAAUGUUCACACAUGCCCUUCUAUUAUUUCCUCCUCUAUUUGCUAAGCAUUUCUUCAAGUACAAACAUCCAAUAGAAACAAAAAAGACGAUUUCUUUGCUGUUUUAUGCUAUUUAAACUACUACUAGAUAGAGAAGAAAUUGAUGCCCCUUUUUCCGUGUUCCUUGGUCACCUGUGCUACUGGAGUGUGUGCACAAUUCUGGGGCACAUGUCAAGUUUUUUUUUUUUUUCCGUCUUUAAACUUCAGCAUCUCUCUGCCUGAAGGUUUCUUCUGACUUCAGAAGCAUGUUCAACCAACAAGUGGCAAAUUAGAAGUGCCAGGAUGUUAAUGUUCCCCAAAACUACCCUCAACCAAUUGGCUGCUCUCACAGAUUCCUGAAACUCUGCAGGGAGAGUGUUCUAGAAUCUCUCAGAGUGUUCUCUGAAGGAUCGAGCCUCAGUUGUCCAUGGUGGUAACCCGCCCAUUUCUGUACCCUUUUUGGUCUUCCUUUGUCAAAUUUGUCCUGACAUGCAUUAAAGUUUCUUCAGGAAAAUAAAUUUACCUGAGGACUGACUGCCUUUUAAAAUGUUUAAGACAUUUAAUUAAAU
rnacentral:lncRNA from 10 species